rnacentral:rRNA from 1 species
UACGGGGGGGGCAAGCGUUGUUCGGAAUUACUGGGCGUAAAGGGCGCGUAGGCGGCCUUCUAAGUCAGACGUGAAAUCCCUCGGCUCAACCGAGGAACUGCGUCUGAUACUGGAAGGCUUGAAUCCGGGAGAGGGAUGUGGAAUUCCAGGUGUAGCGGUGAAAUGCGUAGAUAUCUGGAGGAACACCGGUGGCGAAGGCGACAUCCUGGACCGGUAUUGACGCUGAGGCGCGAAAGCCAGGGGAGCAAACGGG